GGCAGUUUUGAACACAAAACACAAUUUGGACGAAAAUAGAUUAUAACUUGACUCAAGACACUUAAAAACACAAACUAAAUUGAUUUCUAGCUAAUCUAACACUUUAAAAUAAAUGGGGAAUUGGUUUUGACGAAAAUUGAAACAAACAGAAACUUUGUAAACUAAACAGAUUUUAAAACGAAUUUGGUAAAGUGAAUGGAUGGAAAGCUAGCUAAGGGGUUCUUCUCCACACAUGUCACACUUGCAUACAAAACGAUUCCCAAUUGCUUCUCAAUAAACCAUGAAUUCCCAACGCCCCAGAUUAACCGUGAAUUGCACUAAUUAACCCUCAGAUUUUCCUAAAGUUAUCGAAUUGGAUGAAUUGCAUACAACAACCCAAAGCAUUCCUCACAAGUUCCCUGCAUGAAUUGCAUAACAAAGAUACAAGCAAAGAUCAUUAAGUUCUAUGAAAAUCAUAAGCAUUGUCGAGGCACUCGUUACUAUGAAUUGCAUGAAACUUAUGCCAAGAAUUUACUUAACACGAUUGUGAUCAACAACCUUUACUACUUUUGAAUAUAAGUUCGUAACAAUUAGGUGAAAUUCUCUUAUAUCCUAGCAUCAAACUUAUGCAUGAAAAUUAAGCGUGCACUCUCAACCAACACACACAAAUCAGUUUUAAUUCAUAUAGAUAAGUAAAUUGAAUUCACAACUUAUGAAACGCAAUUAUAAGUAAUCAAAUCAUAUAGCAAGCAUAAACAUGGUUUCGAAUCCCCCCUAGCCUAGUUCCUCAUACGCACAAAGCAAAGACAAAUAAAUUUAAACAUUGAAAUCAAAGGAAAGACAACACCUAAAACGUCCUGCACUCCACAAUUGAAUGGCAUGCACGUCCAAGCUUUUCCUCCUAUUCUUUGCUGCGGCACAAGGUCUAAGGUCAGGUUCUAAGGGUUAUUUGUAUGGAUGAAUGGGUAGGAGAUGGUAUAGUAGUGUUUAGGGGGAAUGGAAGGUGCGGCAAAGGUGGUUGAGGUUCAGGAAUUAUGGUGGAUGAUGAGUGAUGGCUGCGGCAAAGGAUGGGAUGAGUUUUCUGAUGUGAAUUGUGAAUAUAGGGGGUGGUAAUUCAGCCAAGGGGUGAAUAAGAGUAUAUAUAGGCACUUAAAACCCUAGGGUAAUCAUAUAUGGACUUGGAUAACCCAAAUCCACAAGGAAAAAGGCUUAGAAAUCAGAAUUCACAAGGAAAAAGGCCUAAGGGGUGCAGCAGGUAAGGAUAGGGUAGGAUAAGGCUUCUAGAAAGCCUUGCAAGGCAAGAAAACAGGUUCUAGAAAUAGGGAAGUGUGGCAAAGGGUUAGGGGAAAAAGGAUAGGGCUUCUAGAAACCCAAAACUAAGAGGAAAUAGACCCUAACCCACGACAAGGAUAAGGAAUUGCUCUCCAACCUUUCUUUGCGUCUUCCAAUGCUUAAGAACCUUCUAAUGUCGCUGAAACUUAAGGUUAUUUAGGUUUAGGAAAGAUCAACCCAAAAUAGCAACUUUUAGGCUUACCUUUCCUACUUCAAGUAGGAAACCUUGUUUGAGUAGGAAUCUUCAUUCUUCUAGGAAUCCAUCUCCAACUAGGAAUCCCUCGUUGAUUAGGAAUCCUUCUUCAAUUAGGACUCCUUCUUGGACUAGGAAUCCUGAUGUGAUAAAAGUUAAGCACACAAAUUAAACCCUCUUUUGACAGUUAUAGUAUAUAUAUAAGUAGGGAUCGUUCUGGACCGGGGAUUAUGAGGGAUUGCCAAUCUAAUUGAAACUGACUUAAAAACACAAAAAUAAACUUAAAAACACUUAACAAGACUCACAAGACUCAAAACAAACUUAAAAAACUCAAAAUAGCACAAAACAACCAAAUAGACUCAAAACUGACUCUAGGGAGUUAUUUGGACGAAAAUUGGUUUAAACUUGACUCAAGACACUUAAAAACACAAACCAAAACAGAUUUUAACUAAUCUAACACUUCAAAGUAAAGGGGGAUUGGGUUUUGGACGAAAAUAAAGUAAAACAAACAAAUUAAAGACUAAAACAGAUUUUGGACGAAAUUUGGGAAAUUGGAUGGGUGAUGGUCUAGCUAGAAGGUCCUUCUCCACACAUGACACACUUGCAUACAAAUCAAUCUCCAAUUGCUUUUCAAUAAACCAUGAACCUCAACACCCCAAGUUAAUUAGGUACGCUUCAAUUAACCCUCAGAUUUUCCUUAAAUCAUUGAAUUGAAUGGAAAUAGCGCAUCGCAAUCAAAUUAUUCCUUAAAAGUUCCCUACAUGAAAGCGCAUAAUAGAGACACAAUCAAAGAUCAUUAAGUCCUAUGAAACUCAUAAGUGUUGACAAGGCAUUCGUAACUAUGAAAGCGCAUGAUACUUAUGCCAGGAAUUUACUUAACAUGAUUGUGACUAACAACCUUAACUACUUAUGAAUAUAAGUUCAUAACGAUUAGGUGAAACUCCCUUACAUUCUAGCAUCAAAUUCAUGCAUGCAAACUAAGUUGACCACCUUAAUAACCAUGAAUAAGUUUUGAAUAAAACAGUUAAGCGAAUUGCAUUCACAAUUUAUCAAAUCGCAAUUGAAAGUAAUCAAUUCAUAUUGCAAGUAUAAUCAUGGUUUCGAAUUCCCCUCUAACUAUAAAGAAAUUAGUUCCUCAUGUUCGCAAUUAAACAAAGAUAACUUGAAUUAAACAUUGAAAACAAAGAUAGAAUACACCUAGAAAGACUCCAGAUGGCUCCUUCUCUCCUUCCUUAGAUGCGGCACAAGAGGAUUGUGGUGGAUGGUGUGGUGGAUGGAUGUAGGUGAUUUUUCGUAGAGGGUGGUGGUUUAAUUGCUGCACAAAGGUUUGUAUUUAUAGGGCUAGGGAAACCCACGAAUUUCUGAAGGAAAUGUAUGUGUAUUUGGCAUAAUUCAUGAAGGAAAAGGACUAGGGUUCACCCAAAUCUGAAGGGAAAAGGAUUGCACAAUCCUAAGGGAAAAGGAUUGCAGGUUCUAGGGCUUCUAGAAAGGGUCUAGGCGCCAGAUUUUUAGGUGCUUCUAGAAAAGAUGUUUUAGCACCAAUUUAGGGGUUCUAGAAGGAUAAAGGUUCUAGAAUCUGAAAUAUAUAGUUUAAAUGCAUAAUUAUCCCUUAGAAAUAGCUGGAAUUAAGUCACAAAUUGAUUUGGAUAAGAUAGGAUAAGAUAAGGUUAGGUUAGGCAAGGAUAAGAUAAGAUAAGGUUGGAUAAGGUUUUGGAUAAUGUUCCUUCUUUUGAGCUGAUUUCUUAUCUUCCUUGACUUGGAUUUAUUUCUUCACUCUUUUCAGCACAUUCCUAGCCUCUUGAACUUCAAAUUCGUCCAUUCAUCUUGCUCCAUUCAUAAGUUGUCCAUUUGGUGCCAAAAACUGCCUCAAAAUGCUCCAAAUUGCACUUUCUUGCCAACUUUGUCAUAUGGACCUACAAACACACGAAAAUAGCUUAAAACACUAUAAUAAACACAAACAAACUAUGAAAAUGCAAGAAAACAAGCUAACUAAGUUGCAUAAAUAUGCUCCUAUCAAAUUCCCCCACACUUAGAUUUUGCUAGUCCUUGAGCAAAACAAAGGAAACAAAACAAACAAAACAGAACCUAAACCUUCCAACGUUUGUCUCAGGGAUUUCCAAUGAAACAUGAUACAUUAAAAAUCACUACUUACAUAGAUUUUAGUUAUCCUUACUGUCGAGCACAUACUUAAUCAUAGUCACCAUUCACUAGCUCACAUUUAAUCAAUUAAAACAACAUUUUGAAUGUAGUAACAUGCCUUAGAAAAUUCCCUCAAUUCCUCACAGGAUAUACUCUCUAUUUUCACACAGAUUUUCUAACUACACACCCUACACUAGUUAUAUGUGAGAAGAUUGAUGUAAACAUGUAGACGAACACUCACAUAUAUGUAUAACAAAGAAAGCACUUUCUGGAGUUAUUAAACAUGUUAGAUAUGAUCUCAUGAAUGGAAUGCUACUACUUAGACGCGAGAACCAGUGACACCAUAUGCUCAUACCAGUCACAAACUCCACAUAUUGAAAUACACAACAACCAAGAUUAAAGUCUAAGUGUUGUAAUGGGGCUAAGGGUAUUGGCUAACAAAGAAAGGUUAAGGAUAAACAAACGUUCUUAACGCAAUAGCAAGCAAAGCAAUGAAAUCAACUUAGAAUUCACUUUAGAAUGCAGAAAUCAACUUUUAAACACAAGGGAAGAUUCAUGCAACACUUGGGGUCAAAUUCAAGCUUUUUGGACCCUUUCUUCAACAACCAACACUUUAGAGCUCUUUCUAACAUAUUUUUCAACUCUUCUUCAUUCUUUUCACAACUUUUCUUUUUUUCUUUCUAUUUUCCACGAAUUUUUUUCUUUUUCUUUUCUACCCAUGCCUCUUUUAAGACUUUGGCACACACACACACACACACAAAAAUCCCUUCCCCCACACUUGUUUUUCUGCAAUAUGUUUGAUCAAAAGGAAUUCCCUCUAAGUCAUGCUUCACUAUCCUUUAAGAAUAAGGGUAUGGAUAGUCCUAUUCUAGGCUAGGUUGGGGUAAUGUGGCUAACAACGAAAAUAGGCUAAAUAAGGCUCAAAAGGGGUUAAACCUACAAAACAAAUGCAUGGGAUGAAGGUUUUUUGGCUCUAGUGGUGACUACUAAACAACUUCAUCUUGUUAUAUGUUAUGCACUCAAUUUUAAAGCUUUGAAUGAAACGGGCAUGAGUUCUAGUAUUUGGAACCAAAGUGAUAAAACGCAUUCUAAGUAGCAACCAAGCAAAGAAUAAUGAGAUCAUGCAACGACUUUAGAAAACAAGAAAUCACAGAUUAAUAACUCUCCAAACAAAGUUUAGGCUCAAGUCUCUCAGGGUUGUAGCAUUAGUUUGAGUUCCUUCCUUCAAGCAUGUUACAAAAACUGAUUCUUUUUUUUUUUUUUUUUUGUGAUUACAUGUGAAUUCGUAAACGACAACUAAAACCAAGCAUAAACCAAAGAGCAUAUCAAACUGUCACCCAUGUCUGUAACUUUCUUUAACAGUCAUGCAAUUAAAAACCAAAUCCUUAUCAUUGUGUUGGAAGGUACCCUAAGACACAAACACACAAAAACAACUUUAAAAAGACUCUUUUUGGGUUUUUCAAAACUUUUUCUAGUUUUUUUUUUUUUCAAAUUUUCGUAUUUUAUGUCAAAGACACAAUAAAACACUCCGAAAUACUCUAAAAACACUUAAAAACAAUGAGAAACAACUCUAGUAGUCCUAGGUGAUAAAGCUCCACGAAUUUGCAAUAAAAACACUUGUUUACCCCCCCCCCACACUUAAACCAAACAUUGUCCUCAAUGUUUGAAACGUAGAAUCACACAAAAACAAGCAAAUAAUAUAACUAGCAAAUAUGACAAAUAUGGCAAAGUAAAAGUAAUAAAGAGUAGGGUUUAGGAACGCAAAUCUGGUUGUGAUGCCGGAGCUUCCUAGGUCUUCUUUAUUUGUAUGGGUUGCCUCCCAAGAAGCGCUUGCUUUAACGUCUUCCAGCCGGACGAUACCUCCCUUUAAACGGCCCUAGGUCCCACGACAUGGAUUUGAUCUUUGAAUGGGAGGUGAUACUUGAAAUGAUCCGAUAAUGGUUUAAAUUCUAGAGUGGGUGCCUGAAUCAUUAACAACAUAUUAGUAUAAAACAAAAUUGAAAUUUGAGUAGGUGGUUUACCUAUUUGCUCCGACAAGAACUCAAGGACAAACACUACUUCUUUGAAAGUUUCUGGAAUGUUGGACUUAGCCAGAUUUAAUGGGAGGGUUGUGACUUGUCCUGUAUCAUAAAAUGCAACUUCUUUGGGGUUGGUUGUGCCAAGUACAUCCUCUUUGAUGAAUUCUUGGUGUUCCCCAGCCACUUCCUUCUCUUGAAUCCUUCUUCUUGGUGUACAAUUUGCUUCAGGGAAUUCAACACAAUCUGGAACUUGUUUUGGUGUACCAAGAAGUGGGAUAUCAUUUUGCACCUUUGGAAGAGCUUCCACAAUGUAUUUUUCACUCUCUUCUUGCUUGGGAAUAAAAAACCUGGGAGGAAAAAGGACAUUGGGUGGAAUGGGGUUAGAAUUAAUUGAAUUUGGAACCACCUUACCUGAGUUGGACGGCAUAGGGACUCUAGGAGGUUGCGGCAAGGGUUGUUCUACCCUUGCCGUGGGUGUGUCUUCUUCCUCCUCCUCAAUUAGCAGCUGUUCAUCCUCCUCGUGGCUUAAUUUGGAUGUUUUUGGGCUUGUUCCAACCUCCAUGUCACUUUCCAAAAUGAUAACAUCAUGGAUUUCAAAAUCUUCCUUCAAAUUUUCAAUAAUUGAGUUGGAGAGUUCACUGUGCUCUUGAAUUUGUGCCAUGAACUCCAUAAUCUCUCCCAUUUGAUUCUUAAAUUUACCCAACUUCUUGUCUUGAUUUUGUUGGUCCUGCACUAAAGAGGUUAGUAAUUGAAGAAUUUGAUCACUAUCCAUGGACAUACUUGAAUUUGAUUGGAAUUGUUGUGGGGGAUGUGGUGGUGGCUGCAUAGGCAUGGUGUAGAACUCCUCAUAUGGCUGCCAAUAUGCAUCUUGUUGAGCCUUCUUGGCUUGAUUUUGUGAGCCUUGCACCAAAGAAUUUAAUUCAUUAAGAAUUUGAUUAUAAUCUAUUGACGAAUCUGAGUUUGAUUGAGCAUAUUGUAUAUGAGGUUGUGGUGGCUGCAUGGGUCUUGAAUAGAACUCCUCAUAGGUGCUUCUAGAAAAGAUGUUUUAGCACCAAUUUAGGGGUUCUAGAAGGAUAAAGGUUCUAGAACCUGAAAUAUAUAGUUUAAAUGCAUAAUUAUCCCUUAGAAAUAGCUGGAAUUAAGUCACAAAUUGAUUUGGAUAAGAUAGGAUAAGAUAAGGUUAGGUUAGGCAAGGAUAAGAUAAGAUAAGGUUGGA
rnacentral:lncRNA from 1 species